rnacentral:misc_RNA from 1 species
AAACUGCUACAGUGGACCAUAUCAUUGACAGUGCGAUUGAGGCUAAAAAAAAAAAAGAAGAUCACAUUUUCUGUCUUCAUUGGCGUAGUUUGAAAGUACAAUUCAUUGCAUUGAGAUGACUGCUAUUGGACCAUUUCAUUUACAGAGUGAAUGAGGCCAACAGAAACUCAUUUUCUUGUCGUUUCCAUUUGUGUAGUUGUUGAUCAGUUUUUAGUUUUGUUUAAAGAGUGUUUGGUAUGCAGUUUCAUUGGACAAGUGUAUAAAUGAUGAAGCAUGAUGUUUUGAAAACAGGUAUAGUACAUGUCUAUGGAUGUCUGUCUUCUUCACCUUGUGUACAAGGUUUUAAAAGCAUUUGGUGACUUGAGAAUAUGAUCGAGGAUUUUUCUUUCCAACACUACCCACCUGAUUGUCUUGUUGUGUAUCUGUUUUAGAACAAACAAUUUUGUUUUGAUGUGUUUGUAUAAUGUAUUGCACAUGUAUUUGAUCAAGUUAAUAUUCCCUGAUCUGUACAUUUGAACCAAGAUAAAAAAGGUCACAACUAAAUCUAAAUAUGUGAUAUUUUUUUGUUUCUAUGUUAUUUUACAUAUUUCAGCAUGGGUUAAUUCCUGUGUCAAUUUUUGUUUUACAUCUUUACUUCCUCUUGUUUAGAGUGUUAUUAAAAAUGUCUACAGAUUUUUGCCAUUUAUAAUAGGUGGAAUUUUUUUCUUAUUGUCAGUUUAAAGCAGGUUAAAGGGUGCUUGUCCUCACAUAUACAUUUAGGUGGCUCACCACCUUAAUAUCAGGUUGUAUUUUUUUUUUCAUGAAUAUACAUGUAGCUGUUUUUAACAUGAUUCCAACAAACUGUCUAAUAUUUCUUCUAUACAGCAUUGUCUUGUGCACCAUAUGUGGUGUGUUCAGUUAAAUACACAGACAACUUAUUACCUUUUGUUCAAAAAUAUUCCAUGAGAUUGAGACAGGUUGCUUUACCUUGAAAUUGAAUGUUUUGUGACAGUGACUGUUAUAUGCUUGUUAGUCUGCCUAUGUAUGAUCGAACGGUUGGAUGUCUGAAGCAGCUACUGUGUAAUUGCUACAGAAACCCUCGCAGGUUCUGAGGUUAUUUUUGUCAUUUAGUUUUCAUCUGGUGUUUGUUCAUGUGCUGAGCACUGGAUCAAAAAAGUGUGCUUGUUUACUUGCGAUCAAAUGACAUUUGUCAAUAAAAGAUGAAUAUUGCC